ACCGAAAGGGAAUCGGGUUAAUAUUCCCAAACCCUGAUGCGGAGAUCGAUCCUUCAUGGAUCCAUUGCGGCAACGAAACUGAACUCGGAGACGUCGACGGAAGUCCCGGGAAGAGUUGUCUUUUCUUUGUAAAGAACGGACUCCCUGGAAUCGGCUCGCCGAUAGAGAGGGAGCAUGUGUUUCCGUAAAGCACCGCGGCUCUUGCAGUCCAGAGCUCUCCCGCCGGCCAUUAAAAAUCUGAGGGAGAGAACAUAAUUUUCGCACCGGACCGUACCCAUAUCUGCAGCAGGUCUCCA
rnacentral:rRNA from 1 species